AUGGUGUAGGCGCUCGGCCGGGCAGGGGGGGCCUGGCCGGUGUGCGCGGGGCUCGGGCUGAGGCAGAGGAAGGAGCACCCUCAUCCACACGGUGCUGGAAGGAGAGCGGCGUCAAUUAGCAUCGUUAGGUUUAUCAAGUAUCAGUGAUGCCUCUCAGCAGGAAGACAGCCAAACUACAUUUAGACUCUAUCCCUCUGGGAAGUGAUUUUAGUACGAAGCUUGGAGUUUCUCUCCUAACUUGAGAAAAGCUCAAGUCCAUCUUAAGCUGCACCGGCCUCUACUGAGAUUCACUGGAAGUUAAAAAAAACAAACAGCCCCAAGAUAUGAGAAAGACCUGCUAGAAGAAAGAAGAGAAAAAACACAUUCUUCUGUUUACUAAAAGAUGCUUCUACAGAGGAUUGGGAGCUGCCGGUUUUCUUCAAUGUAUGUAUGCUUUUCCUUUUCUUCUGCACCUAAUGGCCCCAUCUUUCCAAAAAUGAUAAAAGCACUGGUGACAUUUUACACAACUGGAGUCUUUUUCUUGCAAGAAGUCCUCUGGGAUACCCAACAGGACAGCAAAGAUAGGAUCUCACCUUGCAUGAAGUAACUUAAAGCCUGAAGGUUAUAGCAUUUUAAAUUAAUACAAGCAAGGUAGAGAUUCUUAUGCUUAACCGUUUUCAGCGCUGUUAACACUUAUUUCAGUGCCAUUAUCUACAGCAACACAUAGAGGAGAGAUAUUUUAACAAGACGUAUGUAAAGAACUACCUUUGAAAAGUAAUGUAGUUUCAAGACAGCUUUUUUCCCCCUUUAGAAAAACAAUAGUAUGAGUUUCAUUUUGAAGUUUCAAAGCCCAAAAGAACUAUCACUAGAAUUGCUUAGCUGCUUAUUUAGUACAUCAGGAUUCCAGAAGGACCAUCAUGUCUACAGGACAUAGCUAAAGUUAAUGUCAUUUUAAGACAUUAAUUUUUUACUUUCCCAGUUAGUUGUCAUUCAACAAGGUUUACUACAGCAGAAGAGAUCCAAGCUCUACUAUCACAGUAAGUGUUAUAAGCGGGCUGUAAUUAAUUUCUUUGUUGAAUUUCAUGUAUGUAUACAAACAACACCCACAAGGCUAACGGGAAUGCCCUAUAGAACUAUAUUCCCUGCUCAAGAAUUACAGGAUCACAGAACGGCUGAGGUUGGCAGGGACCUCUGUAGAUUAUCUAGUCCAACCCCCUGCACAACACAGGUCAGCUACAGCAGGUUGCUGAGGGCUGUGUCUAGUUGGAUUUUGAGUAUCUCCAAGAAUGAAGACUACCAAACCUCUCUGGGUAACCUUAUCCAGCAUUUGACCACCACUAGCACAGUAAAUAAAAGUGUUUUCUUGCAUUCAGGUAGAAUUUCACGUUGUAACUUGCACUUAUUGUCUCUUCUACUGUCAGAGGGCACCACUGAGGGGUCUGGCUCCCUUCUUUGAUUCUACCUAUUUGACAUGCACAAUUGUGACAAAUUAGACUUCUACGCAACUGAAGAGCUUAUUGCUUGGCUUUGAGGGGAGGGGGAAGAAGAGAGUCUAUUAAGGAGGUGUUUGCUACCUGCAGCCAAGGCCCGCACCUGCCAAUGUUAAUAUUGUUGUGGAUUGAUCACUCCUCCAUGUACAGGUGUCUGCAGAUCAGGAUCACUAUUCUUGUUCAAAUAAGUAGAUGCUUUAUUAGCUACCUUACAUUUCUUUUGCGUGUACUUUCCCUCUUAAGUCCUCAUAAGCCUUUUAUGUAUAUUUUCAGAGCCCUGCCCUUAAUACUUUUUGCUAGAACUAGAUCUUCAAAAUAUACUUGACAGAAGUCUACUGUAAGGCAUAAUGAUUUUGAAGGUUCCUGUCCAAGGCUUAGAAGCGUUAUCCUAAUUCUCAGCUCCUGUAUGUGAGCAAGCAUAGUCCAAGUCCCGCUGUGUGUAGAGCCAGAACCUUGUUUAUAAACCAAGGUGCUUUCAUAUAAGCAGGCACAGAGGUAUGAACAAACAUCAAGGGCUCAGCUAGGCAAGCGUUUUUUAUUAACUACCUGGGAGAAACAUUUGGUGUUAAGUGUUCAUUCUCUACUACUCAUUCUUGUUUAUUUACUGUUCAUUCUUAGUUUAAAACUUAAUUUCUCAAGCCUUCACACCAAUUAAGAAGUAGAAGGAGCGCAUUAAGGGUCCUUCACUGAAACAUCAACGGCCACAUUGCAGUUUUCCAGUCUGUUUACUGAUAGUGGGUGAGAUCUUGAAGUAGAAGGCAGAAGAUCAGGGUAGAAGGAUAAAAAAGGAGACAAAUCCACAAUAGUACCUCUUAAUCCAUCUGUCCUUUGCUGUUCCCUACAAUAGUCCUUGGCAGACUAGUAGGGGGAAAGACACAAAGCUUUAAGGUCACGUUUGUAAUACUGCUAGAUUUAUUAGAGCAGAACCUAGUUGAUUUAAUAAAAGGAAAGCUAGGAAUUAUUCAACUUUUCUUUUGAAAUUAAAGUAGAACAGAAAGUACCUUUUCCAGAGUAUUUUUUAAUUUGAAAAACACUAGUUCAACAGAGUGCUUUUUUGGAUGAUGGCCCUCAAUGAAUUAGACUGUUACACUGAUCAGAAUAUUAAUAAUGAAUACAUGGCAACUGAGUAAAGACAUACCUUCCCCAUCUUUAGAAGUAGUGUUGUCAGAAAGUGAAUCCUAUAGUUUCUUACCAAAAUAUCAAUUCCAACCACUCCCUGUUUCAUGUAAUCUAUGCCCGAUCCAUGUACUCUUUGACAGGUCCUAUAAGAAAGAUCUGAAUGUUCUUAAUUGAUACUUUUGCAUGUUCUCUCCUAAAAUAUGUUCCUUUUUUAUUGUAGUACCUUAGAUCAGAACUUUUAGAAGGCUAUUCACACCAAGUUUAGAAGCAUUUGAACAGAAUGCUCCGAUUCCCUACAAGAGAUUCAGAGCUUUUAAGCAGGAAAAACUAGUAUUCACUUUGUCCCUGAGCAGCUGUUGCUUCAUAGUAGGAUUGAUGCUUGUCACUACACCAGAAUCUGAGAUGCCAGGUAUUCUAGAAUGUACACUUCCAUCAACAAAAACCUGCAAAUGGCCAGAAAUCUCCUUGCUAGUCAUUUUUCCAAGCUUGAUUUCCCACUGUCUUCUGGUAGGUGCAAGCCAAGGAAUGCUGUUCAGCCUCACAGUUUUAUAGAUAUCAGUGCACGUAACAGUAGUAAGGAGUUACAGAGGAAUUAAUAAAAUCUUGAAGAUCAGAUAUGGCCAAAGCAAGCUGCUGCCCAUCUUCUGCAAUGCUAGGCAUCCUUAUCUAUCUUUUAAAGGAAUACACACACUAACAAGAUCUGAAGCAGCCAUACGGUUUUAUGUGGAUGCAGAAUAAAGUCCUCUGCCUGCUCCAUAAAGUGCAGGAGAAACCUGCUUGCUUCCUUUCAGCUGCUGAUGUUUUGGACAUAAACUAUCUCAAUCUCUUCUCCAUUUAUAUAUAAUCUAUUAAUGCUACUGACUUACUAUGAAGGCGUAAGAUCCAUAUCCAAUUUAUUUCCCUACUGAGGAAUGCUCCCGGCUUUGUCAGAUUUGCAAUGUAAGCACCAAUUCUGUCUUUAUGCUUUGCAACCAGAAUGGUGUUGCCUCUGGCUAGUGAGCUAUCGUUUUUCAUACUUUAUUCUUUUAGGAGUUCAAACCCAUCCCACAGGUUUUUAAGCAAAUCCUCAUCCUACACCUCACUUUGAACAAAAUGUACAAGUAGUACCUGUAGGUGGUUUUUGGUUUACACACCAAGCCAUAUCUCCUUGGUGGAUGCUGCAGUCUCUUCAAGAAGGUGGCUACGUAGUUCUAUAUACAGUCCAGGGUAGAAGAUAAGCAGGGACAGCUCUAAGGCUCUUGAUUCUGGCCCAGAGUUUCUCAUUACAGAGCCUGGAAUAAGCAGGCCCAGUUCAGUCUGAAGAUACGUCGGAGCUGGACCCUCCAUGCUGGCCAAGCUCAUCCAACAAAGUUAAGGUAUGAAGCCAAGUGGACCACAUGAGUCUCAGCUGAAUGAGUUCUGCUAACUUCUACAGAUUAAUUGCUCAAUAAGAUAAUAAGGCACAUAAUACUUCUGAAGGCAGAAGUAAUAAAAAUAGAGGCAUAAUUAUUCACUGAUGAGACUUGGCUUAAAAUCUACCUAUGAAAAAAUUCACAUCUAAAUCUAACAUUCAUAUCAAAAAGAACAAGAGUCCUUUAAAGCGUGACAUUUUGUUGUCAGCACUAAGCUCAGGAGGAAGGUUUAAUCUUUUUUUCUUUAGUGCAUCAGUCUUUUCCUAGAUAAGGAUUGGGGAGGCUAGUAGCAAGCAAAAAGGUAAAUUGAAACAAUGAACAAAAUCUAUGCCCUACUCAUACUGGAAUUAGUCUGACAGAACAAAAACCAGACUGGCUACAGUUGCUGUUCUCGAUACAUACAUGCUUGACUUCUCUCUUCACCUAUUUAGGAGUUACCACAGCUGCCUUCAUACCCAAAGGUUUGUCCCAGUAGUGACUAAUCUCUCACUAAUCAUCUAAUCUCAUUCUAAUAAAUCCUCUAUAGAUGGACAGGUGGAUAAGGAAGCAAUUUGCUUUGUCACAUUAAAACUCCUCAAGUUUCUCUGCUGGCCAAGUUCAAUCUUCUGUUAAAAUGGUCAACUUGGACACCAACUUGCACGGGUUUUUGAAGCUAAAAGUAAUCACGUUUCAAAGGCACACAUCCUUCCUAGAAUUUGGGUGUAUCAGUUGAUGGGACUUUACUGGAAGAUGGGUAAGCAUUUUGACCAACCACACCUAAAAUAGUUUAAUUAGAGAAUAGAUAAAUUCAUAGAUGCUUUUCUGUAUCAGAGCAGAGCUCACAAGUUCAAAUCAAUCAUGAUCAGCAGAGCUGGGGCAUGAGAAUUAAAAUAACUGAAAAGCUUAUUGCCCAUCUUACUGUAGAAAGUCAAACAACUGAGGGAGACAAGCUAAAAAGCCUGCUGCAACCCAGGGGUACAGGACUGCUGCAUUUGUUUGUGAAUAGGACAACAGAAAUAUUUUGAAGACCAUAACACAAUGUUUAGCACUUCAGUCUCCUCACCUACCACAUCAUUUAGCCAAAUUUAAAUGCUGA